rnacentral:rRNA from 1 species
GAUGAACGCUGGCGGCGUGCCUAAUACAUGCAAGUCGAGCGAACAGACGAGGAGCUUGCUCCUCUGACGUUAGCGGCGGACGGGUGAGUAACACGUGGAUAACCUACCUAUAAGACUGGGAUAACUUCGCGAAACCGGAGCUAAUACCGGAUAAUAUAUUGAACCGCAUGGUUCAAUAGUGAAAGACGGUUUUGCUGUCACUUAUAGAUGGAUCCGCGCCGCAUUAGCUAGUUGGUAAGGUAACGGCUUACCAAGGCAACGAUGCGUAGCCGACCUGAGAGGGUGAUCGGCCACACUGGAACUGAGACACGGUCCAGGCUCCUACGGGAGGCAGCAGUAGGGAAUCUUCCGCAAUGGGCGAAAGCCUGACGGAGCAACGCCGCGUGAGUGAUGAAGGUCUUCGGAUCGUAAAACUCUGUUAUUAGGGAAGAACAAAUGUGUAAGUAACUAUGCACGUCUUGACGGUACCUAAUCAGAAAGCCACGGCUAACUACGUG